GGCCAUGCAUGUGUAAGUAUAAAUAAUUCUACUUUGAAACUGCGAAUGGCUCAUUAUAUCAUNAUAUAGUUUAUUAGAAAUAGUUUUCUACUUGGAUAACCNUAAGAAAAUUCUAGGGCUAAUACAUGAGUAAAUCCGUUUCUGCCCUAUCAGCUUUCGAUGGUAGUGUAUUGGACUACCAUGGCAGUAACGGGUAACGAAGAAUUUGGGUUCGAUUUCGGAGAGGGAGCCUGAGAGAUGGCUACCACAUCCAAGGAAGGCAGCAGGCGCGUAAAUUACCCAAUCCUGACAUAGGGAGGUAGUGACAAUAAAUCACAAUGCGGGACUUUUUAGUUUUGCAAUUGGAUUGAGAACAAUGUACAAGAGUUAUCGAUAAACAAUUGGAGGGCAAGUCUGGUGCCAGCAGCCNCGNUAAU
rnacentral:rRNA from 1 species